GAUGAACGCUAGCGGCAGGCCUAAUACAUGCAAGUCGAACGAUACUUUCCAGCUUGCUGGAGAGGAGAGUGGCGCACGGGUGCGUAACGCGUAUACAACCUACCUUAAUCAGGGGGAUAGCCCGAAGAAAUUCGGAUUAACACCGCAUAAAAUCACAGUAUAGCAUUAUACAAUGAUCAAAUAUUGAUAGGAUUAAGAUGGGCAUGCGUGACAUUAGUUAGGUGGCGGGGUAACGGCCCACCAAGACCACGAUGUCUAGGGGAUCUGAGAGGAUGACCCCCCACACUGGUACUGAGACACGGACCAGACUCCUACGGGAGGCAGCAGUAAGGAAUAUUGGUCAAUGGAGGCAACUCUGAACCAGCCAUGCCGCGUGCAGGAAGACAGCCCUCUGGGUCGUAAACUGCUUUUAUUCGGGAAUAAACCUAUCUACGUGUAGAUAGCUGAAUGUACCGAAGGAAUAAGGAUCGGCUAACUCCGUGCCAGCCGCCGCAGUAA
rnacentral:rRNA from 1 species